UAAAACACUGGUCCAUGUAUGAUCACCAAAGUUAAGCAACAAUGAGUCUAGUUGGUACCUAGAUGGGUGACCGCUUGGAAAUACCAGGUGCUGUAAG